rnacentral:rRNA from 1 species
UACGAAGGGUGCAAGCGUUAAUCGGAAUUACUGGGCGUAGAGGGUGCGUAGGCGGUUCGUUAAGUCUGUCGUGAAAUCCCCGGGCUCAACCUGGGAAUGGCGAUGGAUACUGGCGAGCUAGAGUGUGUCAGAGGAUGGUGGAAUUCCCGGUGUAGCGGUGAAAUGCGUAGAGAUCGGGAGGAACAUCAGUGGCGAAGGCGGCCAUCUGGGACAACACUGACGCUGAAGCACGAAAGCGUGGGGAGCAAACAGG